rnacentral:rRNA from 1 species
UACGUAGGUGACAAGCGUUGUCCGGAUUUACUGGGCGUAAAGAGCGCGCAGGCGGUCGUUCAAGUCGAGUGUGAAAGCCCCCGGCUCAACUGGGGAGGGUCAUUCGAUACUGAUCGACUCGAAGGCAGGAGAGGGUAGUGGAAUUCCCGGUGUAGUGGUGAAAUGCGUAGAUAUCAGGAAGAACACCCGUGGCUAAGGCGGCUCUCUAGUACGGUACUGACGCUGAGACGCGAAAGCGUGGGGAGCGAACAGG